rnacentral:rRNA from 1 species
CACGGGGGGAGCGAGCGUUGUUCGGAAUUACUGGGUGUAAAGGGCUCGUAGGCGGGGAAGAAGGUCGGAUGUGAAAACUUAUGGCUUAACCAUAAGCCUGCAUCCGAAACCACUUCUCUUGAGUAUCGGAGAGGAUAGCGGAACUCCUGGUGUAGCGGUGAAAUGCGUAGAUAUCAGGAGGAACGCCGGUGGCGAAGGCGGCUAUCUGGCCGAAUACUGACGCUCAGGAGCGAAGGCCGGGGGAGCAAACAGGAUUAGAUACCCUGGUAGUCCCGGCAGUAAACGAUGGGUACUAGGUGUUGGAGGGAAUUGACCCCUUCAGUGCCGCAGCUAACGCAUUAAGUACCCCACCUGGGGAGUACGACCGCAAGGUUGAA